rnacentral:rRNA from 1 species
AGUACCGUGAGGGAAAGGUGAAAUGAAAGUUUACAAACGUAAACUUAAAAUAACAUUGAAAUUUAAUGCUGACAAGCAGUUGAAGCUUUUAAAACCAAAAGUAACAGCGUACCUUUUGCAUAAUGGAUCAACGAGUUUAUUUUAGUGGCGAGCUUAAGCAACAAGAAAUUGCGAAGGCGAAAAGAAACUAAGUUUUAAAAGGCUGUUAAGUCUCUAAAAUAAGACCCGAAACUAAGUGAUCUAACCAUGACCAGGCUGAAUUUCAAGCGGCAACGCUUAUUGGAGGGCCGAACCCGUGUAUGUGGAAAAAUACUGGGAUGAGUUGUGGUUAGGGGUGAAAGGCCAAUCAAACUUAGAGAUAGCUGGUUUUCUGCGAAAUCUAUUUAAGUAGAGCGUUUAAAAACUUUAUUCUGGGGUAGAGCACUCGAUAAAUAAUGGGAGCGUAAAGCUUUACUGAAUUUAAUGAAACUCCGAAUACGGAA